UCCCAGAAGAAGGAUGAGAGAAGUGUGGAGCAAGAUCCAGCCUGCUGAAUUGCACUAUGAAAAAGAUGAUCCCAACCACCACAGCCUCAGAAGAGACAUCUCUGCUGAUCCACAGGUUCAUAAGUAUGGACAGCAUUAUUGGCAACGGUUUCAAUAACCACAUGAUAUACCAAAAAUACAUAUCGGUGGUGUCAACAUAGCUUCAGUCACAGAAGCCUGUGCUACAGAAAAUGGUUGUCACUUUACUGCAAUUUUUUUAAAGAUGCCCUAGUUCUUAAACUUUAACUGUGGCUCUGACAAUUCUCAAUAUAGUUUAAUAUUAGUGAAUGAUAAAAUGACUGGCAUAUGGUGAAUAUGCCAAUAAAUAAAAGUUGGUAUAAUUUUAGAACAUCAUAGUGGGUUAUAAGUAAAAUAUUGUGGCUCAUUUUACUUUUGUUAAUGAGUCAGAAAAAAUUUAUGUAUGUUUGAUGUUUUACUCGCUUGUUCUGGCAUAUUUGGGCAAACUGAAAUUUAUGUGCCACUGUGCCACUGCCAUCCUUGAGCACACCACUAGGUUUUACUGAAAAUGAGUAAUUACUGCUUCUUGGCCAGAUGGACAAUUCCAAAAUGAACAGAAGAAAUCCUAAAGCAACGUUAGCUUGGCUUCCAAUAAUGAGUUUUAGAGAAAAGAAUAAAGCUUUCUCACCUACAGUGAUUUUGAUUCAUCCUUUAAAUAGAAGAUAUUCCACAUUUUCAUUUAGCUUACUUCAG
rnacentral:lncRNA from 1 species